CAGUGCCUACGGGACGCAGCAGUGAGGAAUAUUGGUCAAUGGGCGCGAGCCUGAACCAGCCAAGUCGCGUGAGGGAAGACGGUCCUAUGGAUUGUAAACCUCUUUUGUCGGGGAGCAAAAGACGCCACGCGUGGCGUUCCGAGAGUACCCGAAGAAAAAGCAUCGGCUAACUCCGUGCCAGCAGCCGCGGUAAUACGGAGGAUGCGAGCGUUAUCCAGGUUUAUUGGGUUUAAAGGGUGCGCAGGCGGAAGAUCAAGUCAGCGGUAAAAUUGAGAGGCUCAACCUCUUCGAGCCGU
rnacentral:rRNA from 1 species